rnacentral:rRNA from 1 species
UACGUAGGGCGCGAACGUUGUCCGGAAUUAUUGGGCGUAAAGAGCUCGUAGGUGGCUUGUUGCGUCUGCCGUGAAAGCCCGUGGCUUAACUACGGGUCUGCGGUGGAUACGGGCAGGCUAGAGGCUGGUAGGGGCAAGCGGAAUUCCUGGUGUAGCGGUGAAAUGCGCAGAUAUCAGGAGGAACACCGGUGGCGAAGGCGGGACUCUGGGCCGAUACUGACGCUGAGGCGCGAAAGCGUGGGGAGCAAACAGG